rnacentral:misc_RNA from 1 species
GAUGAAGAACGUAGCGAAAUGCGAAACGUAAUGUGAAUUGCAAAUUCAGUGAAUCAUCGAGUCUUUGAACGCACAUUGCGCCCCCUGGUAUUCCGGGGGGCAUGCCUGUCCGAGCGUCAUUGCUGCCCUCAAGCACGGCUUGUGUGUUGGGCCCCGUCCUCCGAUCCCGGGGGACGGGCCCGAAAGGCAGCGGCGGCACCGCGUCCGGUCCUCGAGCGUAUGGGGCUUUGUCACCCGCUCUGUAGGCCCGGCCGGCGCUUGCCGAUCAACCCAAAUUUUUUAUCCAGGUUGACCUCGGAUCAGGUAGGGAUACCCGCUGAACUUAAGCAUAUCAAUAAGCGGAGGA